AAACAUAUAGUAUAAUGGUUAAUACAUAUUAUUACGGAUGAUAUAAUGAUAGUUCGAUUCUAUCUAUGUUUU